AACGAACGCUGGCGGCAUGCCUAACACAUGCAAGUCGAACGAGACCUUCGGGUCUAGUGGCGCACGGGUGCGUAACGCGUGGGAACCUGCCCUUAGGUUCGGAAUAACUCCCCGAAAGGGGUGCUAAUACCGGAUAAUGUCUUCGGACCAAAGAUUUAUCGCCUUUGGAUGGGCCCGCGUUGGAUUAGCUAGUUGGUAGGGUAAAAGCCUACCAAGGCGACGAUCCAUAGCUGGUCUGAGAGGAUGAUCAGCCACACUGGGACUGAGACACGGCCCAGACCUCCGAGGGAAGGCGGAGGGGGGAAAUAUGGAAAAAGGGGAGAGACCUUGACCCAGCAACGCGGGGGAGGUGAGGAAGCCUUUGGGUUUAAAAAGCUUUUUACCCGGGAAGGAAAAGGACAGGACCGGAAGAAAAAGCCCCGGCAAACCCCGGG
rnacentral:rRNA from 1 species